AUGGAAGCAACGUGAAAAACGCAAAGAUUAAAACGAUCUCGAAUAUUAUUACUGAGUCCCCCUUCCCUUUGGGAGAGGCGGAAAAGGGAGCAAUACGGUGGAAUGGAAUGUGCGGCAGCGGAUAGGGUGACGCUGCCCGAAGGGAGUGGAAGGUGUUGCAGACCCCCAGCCUUGGCCCGGAUGGGGGAUGUCUCCUCCCACUGGGUCAGUUUUCAGCCCCUCCCCUGAGGUGCUGGCCAUCUGAGCCCGGAGGUGCCUUUGAGGCAGAAGACUACAAGUGUGACAUGUGAGUGGACCAAAGGCAGGGCCUGAUCCAAGUCCCCUUAAAGUCAAUGGAAGAUUUGCUGCUAACUGCAGCAGGAGUUGGUUCUGCUCCAUAAAGCCACUCAGUCUGUCACUUCAUACUGCUUUUGUUCUGUGGGCAACCACAUACAUAGUAAAAUCUCAUUUGUUUUCAAGCUCUCACCUUUCAGGCCCACAAGGCCCUGAAAGGAAUCUCUGUCAGAUGUGGAUUUGCAACCUCUAACCUGGCUUUCCAGAUGCUGUGAUUAUCUACAGCGCUCCGGUGGAAGAACAGUAACUGCAGCAAAUGGCUCCUUCUACAAAUAAGUACAUCUAUGAUCCACUUUGAUUUGAUUUAACGAAAGCAUUAAAAUAUACAACCCUCCCCUGCGUUCUUUUAAAACUGGAGCUCAUGGCCUUUCAGAUCCAUCUGUGAUGGCUAUCCAGUUUGUGGCCCAAUGUAACAUUUCAAAUGGAGUUCAAGUGCCUUUCAGCUUCAGGUCUAGGGAAAUUAAUAAGGAAAAGCAUUAAAAGAACAAACCCCAGACUUAGGAACAUUGAAAUACUAUUGCGUAAAGCUGAGGAAAAUAUUUGAUGUGUUGCUAUUUUGCCAUGUCUGAAAAUGACGGGUUGGAAGAAGAUAUUUGGGAGUACAAAUCCAUUCGGAAACCAAAGUCAGUAUAUCAAAAUAAUAAUUCAGUGAACAUCUCUACAUCUGUGCAGAAAGCAAAUGAUGGGAAGUGCAAAUCAAAAGGAAGUAGAGGUGGGAAUAAUAAAAAAGCAUUUGAAAACAAGGACAAGUCUAAGAAAAAUGAACAGGGACCAAGACAGAAAUGUAUUCAACCACUUAUAAACCCUGACCAGAACUUAAAUCUGUCUAAAGAUGACCAUAUUGUGCAGUCCCAGGAAAGUGUAACUACGCCAACAAAGCAAAGCAGGACUUGUAACAAAAAACAAACCACACCAAAUGCAAGGCCAGUUUAUGAUGGAUACUGCCCAAGCUGCCAGAUGCCUUUCUCUUUACUGUUAGCCCAGACACCUCGGUGGCAUGUUACUGAAUGUUUGGACACUCAAGGAUCCACUGAAAAAGAGUGCCCUGAUGGUCUACUGUGCACUUCUACCAUUCCAUCGCACUACAAGCGCUAUACCCAUUUCAUACUUGCUACAAGCAGAGCAGGGGAUUAUCUUGUCAGCCCUGCAGCAUAUAGCCCAGAGAGAAAGUUCACAUGCUCUGAUGCUGCUAACUCAAGCUGUUUCUCAGGCCUUGUGGAUGGAACCUCACAGCAGGAGAAACUGACCAGGAAUGUAAGAAAUGCCCCAAAUGAGGAUCAUACAUUGGUGAUACAGAGUUCAACACAAGCAAAAUCUCCAAAUGUAACCAAGAUAAAUACUGUGUCUUCCACAAACAUUCUAAAGCCCCAACAGACACUUCUACUUACACAGUCUGCAGAUGAUAAUGGCCAACUUGAGUCUUUGGAUUUUCCAUUUUCUCAAGGAAGUGAAGCUAGUGGAGAUCUGGAUAGUCAGAAUGAUUCUAAUCAGUUAAAGCUGCUACUUCCAGAAGCUGACUUCAGUGACUGUGAAAUUUCCUACUCUCCGCUUAAUACUGAUGAGGAAAAUGAAGAGGAAACAGAGAAGGAGGAAGAGGAGGAGGAGAAGAAAAUAAAACAUUCACAAAAGAGAUUAUUUCACACCCAGAACUCUGAAGAUGAGAGCACGAAAAAGGAGGAAUCUAGCUGUAUGUUGUUUACUAAAUUAGAUUGUUCUCCACUUCAGCAAGUACACAGGUAUGGCUGCCUUAAAAUAGGUGGUUUCAUAAUACAAAACAAACCUUGUGAAGAAUUGAAUGGACUGAGUCAUUUAGAUGGUUGUGUUAAGCCUGUUUCUCAGGAGCACAUGAACAACAUGUUCUCUAAUUCAGGAAGUGCUGCUAAUCAGUUAAAACACCCACAAGGGGCACUAACAGCACAAUCCUCUCUUUCCCUUAAUUAUGAUAUAACGAAGAAGGAAUUUGAUUGGCCAACAUUCAGUGCCUCUGUUUCUAAUACAGGUAAUUUGGAGCUAGAAGAUUUUAAUGCUUGCCAUUUGGAUUAUGCAAACUUGGCUGUGAGUGAUUCAUCAUUGCCCUUGAAAGUCAAAGAAGAAGGUGGUAGAUCUUUUCUGUCAAGGCAAAGUGAAGUUUUGAAGAAACCUAGUAACUUCCUAAUCAAUAGAAAUAAAAUGUCCACUAACACAAGUGGAACUACAUUAUACCAGAAGAGUUCACAGCCAGUAAUAGAGGAAGAAGGAAGUCUUCCUAAUACAGCAGCCGUACCCCUUCCCAGUACGGUCUCUCCAACGCUGCCAUCUGUUUCUGUUGCAAAUAUGAAAGCCAAAUCUAUUUCAGCCAAAGAACUGAAACAAAUGGAUAUUGGUGUUUUCUUUGGGUUAAAACCCAAAACAAAAGAAGAGAACAAAGGAAAGAAACAUUUUGGUGAGGGAACACAAGCCUCAAGUCCUAUAACUCCCAAUGGAAAGAGGCCCAGACAACAAAAGAGGAAAGCUGAAGGAUCUGUGGGGGACAUAGAUGCGGUCACAGAAAGUUCAAAUAAAAAUGGAGUCUGUAUAGAUACAACAUCUGGUGUGAAGCGAAGUUGGAGAAAAAGAUUUAGAGAAUCAUCUUCUACAGAAGAAGGAAUAAAAAACAAAAAGUGUCCCUUUUAUAAGAAGAUACCAGGAACUGGUUUUACGGUUGAUGCAUUUCAGUAUGGAGAAAUCGAAGGCUGUGUAGCCUAUUUCCUCACUCAUUUCCAUUCCGAUCAUUAUACUGGCCUAACAAAAAAAUUUACAUUUCCAAUCUAUUGUAAUAAGAUAACUGGCAACUUGGUGAAGAGUAAACUUCGAGUGCAAGAACAGUAUGUCCAUACAUUGCCAAUGGAUACAGAGUGUAUAGUGAAUGGAAUCAAAGUGAUCUUGCUUGAUGCCAAUCAUUGUCCAGGUGCCACAAUGAUCCUUUUUUGCCUUCCCAAUGGAAAUGUCAUGCUACACACUGGGGACUUCAGGGCAAAUCCUUCUAUGGAGCAUUGUCCUCUUCUGAUCAGUCGAAAGAUUCACACCCUGUACUUGGAUACUACAUACUGCAGCCCUGAAUAUACUUUUCCUUCUCAACAAGAGGUUAUCCAGUUUGCUAUCAACACUGCCUUUGAGACAGUAACUCUAAACCCACGUACAUUGGUCGUCUGUGGAACCUAUUCCAUUGGAAAAGAAAAGGUCUUUCUAGCAAUUGCUCAGGUUCUGGGCUCUAAAGUGAGCAUGUCCCAAGAUAAAUACAAAACACUGCAGUGCUUGGAGUCAGCAGCGGUUAAUUCCCUCAUCACCAUGGACUGGAACAAUACUUUGCUUCACCUUCUUCCCAUGAUGCAAAUUAAUUUUAAGGGCCUGCAAAACCACUUAAACAAGUUCUCAGAGAAGUUUGACCAAGUUCUGGCUUUCAGGCCCACUGGAUGGACGUACUCCGAUUCAUGUCACACUCUGGCAGAUAUCAAACCUCAGACCAGGGGAAAGAUCACCAUAUAUGGGAUUCCUUACAGUGAACACAGCAGUUACCUAGAAAUGAAACGAUUUGUCCAGUGGCUGAAGCCACAGAAAAUCAUCCCCACUGUAAAUGUUGGUGACUGGAGAGCCAGAAACAUGAUGGAGAAGCAUUUUAGAGACUGGAAGAUGGAGCCUACUGAGCAGAGGGAAGAAUGUACGUUCCAAAGGACGUGUGCCGGGGGAGGGAUUGAACUACCCAGGACUUUUAUCUAGCCUUCCUUUUUCUAUGAAGCCUCUUUGAGAAGAAACAAGCUGCCAUUCUCCUGCAAGAGAGAGUAUGGUCAUAUUCUCCCCCAAAUAAAGGCCUUCACAAUUAAGAGGAAGUGAAUGUGAGGACAUGUUGCAAGGCCAGCCUAACGAGCCUUCUUCAUUCAGAAUGCCCAUUGAAGACACUGUGUGUUACACAUGUGCCCUGGGCAUGCAGGAUUGGUGCCAUACCCUGGGUCAUACAAACAUUUAUGUAUGUUUUUAAACAUGCAUUUGGUCCCACUGAAGUCAAUGAAACUUCUCAGGUGUUUAAAAUUAAGCCAUGUGCAUAUUUGCAGGAUCAGGUCCUAAGUCUGCACAUAUAGGCUGGUCUCUCCUCUGCCCCACAGAAAGCCAGGGAAGCAAAUACUAGGAGGUGACAAUAAUAAUAUAAGUUUUGCCUGCCAGGCUGUUUUCCUGAAUCCUGCACAGUGUUCAUGUAGUUUAAGAAGGUGACUGUGGGCUUUCACACGAGUAUUUAAUUUAAACAUCACAAUAAGAUUUAAUUUCAGGAUUCACUGCAUAUAUCUAGAAGAAACAAACAAAAAAAAAAGCAUCAUGUAUCAAAAAGAUCCAGAAAGGGGAAGUCUGUGGUGCAUUUUCUUGGGGAAAAUUUUUGUUUACUGAUCUUUUGUAAACAUAAUCAGACACUUUCCUAUAGUAGUGAGCUCUGUGUUUUUGAUGAGCAAAUAGUUGCAUAGUUCUCUGUCUCAGGGAAAUAAUAUCCCAUAAGUCUUUUUGUUGAAAAAAGAUCUUAUCUACAUUACAAAUUUUUCAGUUAGAAGCAAUUACAUUUAGAUGAACUGAAAUAUGGCAGUCAGUUACAUAAUUGUAUCUACAUUAAGUAGUUCAAAAAUCUGAGAUUCAGGUUUUUCUUUAACCACUGUUUAGCAUUCAGUAUUAAUCUCAAUUAAUUAUGAGAAUUUCUCUCAUCACAAGAGCUACUUAAUACCACUGAUUAGAAAAGCUUCGUACAGGUGUCAGUCCUUGGAUCAGGCCAGGC